UUUUGUAGGUCCUCGAAAGAGGAUCUAUGUAUUUCAUCAUCACACCUAUCGUAUGUCUAGAAUGUCAUCGUCGACCACUGGGCGGCGAAAUAAAUAAUACAACUUUCAGCAACGGAUCUCUUGGCUCUCGCAUCGAUGAAGAACGCAGCGAAUUGCGAUAAGUAAUGUGAAUUGCAGAUUUUCAGUGAAUCAUCGAAUCUUUGAACGCACCUUGCGCUCCUUGGUAUUCCGAGGAGCAUGCCUGUUUGAGUGUCAUUAAAUUCUCAACCAUGACUUUGUUGACAUGGCUUGGAGGUGGGGGGUGGCGGGCUGGUUGGUCACUUCUCCGGAAAUCCUUUACCGGGGAACAAGCAAGGCCUUCCAACGGGAUAAGGAUCGCCGGGGGGCGAACCACCACCGUCGGCCGGCUUCUAAAUCCCAAAUGCCUAACCUAAACUUCAUUUCAAACGCUGGACCUCAAAUCAGGUAGAACUCCCCGUUA
rnacentral:misc_RNA from 1 species